UACGUAGGUGGCAAGCGAUACUCGGAAUCACUAGGCGUAAAGCGCAGGUAGGCGGUUUGGUAAGUCUUUUGUGAAAGCUCCCGGCUCAACUGGGAGAGGCCAAAGGAAACUACUAGACUAGAGUGUGGUAGGGGAUACUGGGAAUUCCCGGUGUAGCGGUGAAAUGCGUAGAGAUCCGGAGGAACCCCAGAGGCGAAGGCGGCGCCCUGGGCUCGCAACUGACGCUCAGACACGACAGCAUGGGGAGCGAACGGG
rnacentral:rRNA from 1 species